rnacentral:rRNA from 1 species
UACGUAGGUGGCAAGCGUUGUCCGGAUAUAUUGGGCGUAAAGCGAGCGCAGGCGGUUCCUUAAGUCUGAUGUGAAAGCCCACGGCUCAACCGUGGAAGGUCAUUGGAAACUGGGGAACUUGAGUGCAGAAGAGGAGAGUGGAAUUCCAUGUGUAGCGGUGAAAUGCGUAGAUAUAUGGAGGAGCACCAGUGGCGAAGGCGACUCUCUGGUCUGUAACUGACGCUGAGGCUCGAAAGCGUGGGGAGCAAACAGGA